AUUGAACGCUGGCGGCAGGCCUAACACAUGCAAGUCGAACGAGUGGCGGACGGGUGAGUAAUGUCUGGGAAACUGCCUGAUGGAGGGGGAUAACUACUGGAAAAGGUAGCUAAUACCGCAUACCAUCGGAUGUGCCCAGAUGGGAUUAGCUAGGAGGUGGGGUAACGGCUCAACUAGGCGACGAUCCCUAGCUGGUCUGAGAGGAUGACCAGCAAAACUGGAACUGAGACAAGGUACAGACUCCUACGGGAGGCAGAAGAGGGGAAUAUUGGACAAUGGGAGCAAGCCUGAUGCAGCCAUGCCGCGUGUAUGAAGAAGGCCUACGGGUUGUAAAGUACUUUCAGCGGGGAGGCGUUACCCGCAGAAGAAGCACCGGCUAACUCCGUGCCAGCAGCCGCGGUAAUUC
rnacentral:rRNA from 1 species